UAUUAGCCCAUGAUGAGAAUAGUAGCUUGAAUAUAGGUUAAAGAGAGUCAGUGGUUGGUGUAAACUGAUACUAUGUAUUUUAGCGAAUCCACCUCGGAGGUAAUUGCGAUGAGCAAUACGGUUAAAACCGUUAUAUUUUUGAGAGAAUCAUAUAAUCUUUUAUAUGAUUAAUAAGGGUGGCAACGCGAGUCAAUCGUCCCUACC
rfam:Clostridium botulinum A str. ATCC 3502 complete genome